ensembl:lncRNA
CCAUCCUCUUUCUUCCUCUGUCUGCCGCUUAGCAGCAAGGAUCCUGGACCAGGAGCUUAACCCCUGUGAGGCUUGGUUUCCUGGACUGGGCUGUGAUGUGGAGAAACUGCCUCUGAGAGUUGUCAGAAGGACUGAAACAGCUUCCAGUGGCUCCUGUGCUUAUUCAGUUUUGGCUAAAGAAAACAGCCAGGAGCUAAGGACCAGAUCUCAAAAACGAAGAGAAGAGCUUCUGGAAUUAGGCUCCAACAUAACACCUGUCAACCAAAGUCAACAUUUAUGUAUCAAUACUGAACGCUGAAGAAUUGAUGCGUUUGAACUGUGGUGUUGGAGAAGACUCUUGAGAGUCCCUUGGACUGCAAGGAGAUAGAACCAGUCCAUUCUGAAGGAGAUCAACCCUGGG